GGUCUAUUGGCCGGGCGCUGCCCCAAGACCCCGCGAUCCUGCAGUGGUGGGAGGAGAUCGCGGAUCGCCGGCCCUCCCAGCCAGCACCGUUUUUAGCCCACUCCUCCAGGAUGCCCGUGGCCGGCGCGCUCUCCAGGCCGGCACGCUUUGACUCAAGAAUCUCAAGCACACACCGGAAACUAGAAUAAAAUUACUGAGACUUGAACAUCCAGAGACCAAGGGCGUCACUGGCAGAAAAGCGGAGGCGAAUCCGAACUCCAGGAUGCAGCCGCUCCUUACACGGAUCCACGGCGAGAGCCGCCCCGCCCAGAGACGUGGCUUCCUAGGAGCAGUUCACACGCAGCUCUGCAGCAGCGACAAGCGGGGCCGGGGGGGCUGUUUUCGGAGUUCACAGUCUACAGAGAUCUUAGCAAAAACACGCCCAUGGUCCUUAAGGGUGCCUACACCAGGCUUUUGUCACAACUCAGUGACUAGGAAGACUAGGUAGGGUGAUCAAAAGCUCUGACGAUGUGUGUGAUUAAAAGUAGGAAAAUGUGGUCGCCAGAUAAAAUGUUGUAACAUAUAGUGGGGCGGGAGGGGGGGAAGAUAGGGAUAAAAAAUGUGGAAACCAUUUAUUUUAAAAUUUUGAAUGUUCCUGCAGUCUUCAUAUAUUCUGAUUAUCUUUAGAAAGAAACUGCUCUCAAUCUAUUUAUGUCUUCCCUUUAGUUUUAAAAUAUUAAACAAUCAUCUAACUUACUAUUUUACCUCUAGUCAUGUUACUAGGUUGGGAUAAUAAAAAGGACAGUGAACUUCACAUUUGCUAUCUGUAACAGAUUCUUAUUGAAGCAAUUUUGCACCAAGAGGAUUUCUUACUCAGCCAAAAUUACCAAAUGGAGAAAAGAGCUGGUCCCACCUCUCACCAGGCACAACCAUGUAAAGUGACUUAGGGUAAUUCUCGUGUUCAUGCUUUGCCCUCACCACUGCAAAGCCCUGUCCUGGUGCCUCUGCACAUCUCUCUGAAGCCAGGUUGACCUCAGGCAACGUGAGGGGCCCUUCAUUUGACCUUCCCCAGAACCUUGAGCAUCUCCACUUUUCUCUUCACUGCACCGUAUACCUAAUGCUGGAUGCGUAUAUUUUGUAAAUUUAGCAAGCAAAAUGCCCAAAUGUUUUUCCCCCAAGUCAACUUUUUAACACCCUUCUGAUUCUUUACUUCCUGUUAUUGCAAAGUUCUAAAAAAAUAAUUUCAAAAAAAAUGGCAGGAUUUUAGAAUUCAGCUGACGAAUAUCUUUAAAUGAAAUCUUACAUGAAUUUUAAGAUACAGCGAAUUAAAUACACUUGUAAAAUAGCUUAUGAUGUUACAUGACAAAUUAUAUCACAAUCUAGUUUCCUACACAUCAGCCAGCUUGUUGAAAUGCUGUUUGAUACAUGCACAGAACUUUACAGCCAAAGCAAUGCAGGAAUAAACAACCUCCAAACGUGAGAAUGAUGGUGGUAUGUAACUUUACUUUUGCUUAACUGAACACUUCCAUCUGUGAAUGUGGCCCCGGGCUACAUUUUACUUGGUAGCCCCUAUCUCAUUGGUAGAUGACAGUGACUUGAAGAAGCUGCUGACCAGAAGCUGGUGACUUCCAAGUGUUUCCUUUAAGGAUGACACGGCCACUGUAGUUAGCAAGGACACCUUUUUAGGAAACUGUCAGGAGAUACUAGAUAAUUGGGCAGUAACAGGAACAGCACUUGGCAGUAUGACGACACAUUCUUUUUACUCUGAGGCGUUAACACUGCUGCUGAGGAGAAUUCCAGCUUAGUCAAGUGUCUGAACCUUUUCCCUUUUAUGACUUAAAGCACUGUCAACAGAGUAAUGGUUCACCUAGAAAUCCAAAAAAUCCUAACAGUGAUCAAUGAGAAAAUGAAAUGAUUUUUUUUUUUUGGCUCUGGCAGGCAAAAUAUAUGUAAAAAAUUCAGCACUUUAUUAAUAGACUACUUUCAUUUUAGUUAUUUUAAACAUAAUUAAGUUCAGUCACUUGAUUUUCUAGCCCCAGCUCAAGACAGGGGAGGCAUAAUGUCUGACAGAAAAGCCAUUUAAAAAUGAAAACAUGAAAAUGCAUUAGUUUGAGUCUAAUUUAGCAUGGGGUAACCUAUGGUCUCUAAGUGUAUUACUACGUUAACUUCCAGUGCAAUACCUGACUUUCACCAUAAGUGGAGAGGAGACGGGGUCUGAAUGCUGGUCUUCAACACACAAUGUUACCAGACCCUCAUCCGUAUGAAGGGGAACAAAGCCCUCCUCAAAAGACUUACUCAAGUUAACACCUGGGGAUGCCCAAGAAAUGAACGCGAUUAUUGUUCUGCUUCAGAAGGCAGAAAUACAGGGGACACACUUCAGAUAGGUUAAGACAAAAAGUUUUGUGUUUAAGGCAGCACUUCAGUUGCCUGAAAAUUCACUUCUGCAUAAUGCCUAAUUUUUUAAUGAUGCUGUGAAUAGAUGUUUUGUAAAAACUAUUUUUCUUUUUUUUUUUAUGAAAAAAGAGUAAUGUGUCCUCUGACAUUAGGACUAGGAGAGUUUGAAAAAAAGGACUUUUUUUUUUUUUUUUUUUUGAGACAGAGUUUCGUUAGUUACCCAGACUGGAGUGCAAUGGUGCGAUCUCGGCUCACCGCAACCUCCGCCUCCUGGGUUCAAGCUAUUCUCCUGCCUCAGCCUCCCAAGUAGCUGGGACUACAGGUGCGUACCACCAUGCCCAGCUAAUUUUUGUAUUUUUAGUAGAGACGGGGUUUCACCUUGUUGAUCAGGAUGUUCUCGAUCUCUUGACCUCGUGAUCCACCCGCCUCGGCCUCCCAAAGUGCUGGGAUUAUAGGCGUGAGCCACCGUGCCCAGCCAAAAAAAGGACUUUAAACAAAUGGAGUAUAUAAUCCUAUCUCUUUAUUAGAAUGAUGAAAAGAAUGGGGGUGUUCUCUGCUUACACAGUUACCACCUAGGAGUCAUAACAAAAUUCUUUUGCUAAUCACAGUGAAUAGGUUAAAAAAAGUUUAAAAAUUAUAGAUUUGGUAAAAUUGUCUUCUAUCACCUUUUUAACAUAAAAAUUUUUAACAUAUCUUUUCAGGCCGGGUGCUAUGGCUGAUGCCUAUAAUCCCAGCACUUUGGGAGGCUGAGGCGGGUUCAUCACUUGAGGCUGCAGCAAUUUCCCCAGUACCAUCAGAAAAUUAGAGACACUUUUUCUUAUAAAAAAGAUCCAGAUACUGAACCCAGCGUGGGUACUCAGGCCUGUAAUCCCAGAACUUCAGGACACUGAGGCGAGAGGAUCGCUGGAGCCCUGGAGUUCAAGACUAGCCUGUGUAACAUAGUGAAAUCCCGUCUCUACAUAAAUAAAAAUAAAUAAAUUAGCCAGGUGUGGUGGUGCAUUCCUGUGGUCCUAACAACUCAAGAGGUUGAGGCAAGAGGAUCCCUUGAGCCCAGGAGUUGGAGCCUGUAGUGAGCUAUGAUUGUGCCACUGCACUCUAGCCUAGGUGACAGAGUUAGACCCCAACUCAAAGAAGAAGAUCCAGACAUUUAAGGAAAUCUCUGUCAGGUUACAGACUGACCAGAGAGACAAUAAAAAGAUGAGUGAAUUUUCUAAGUUAUUUGGCAAAGUCUGUAUUCCUGAACUAAUAUCUGGGCUUCCUCAGUGACAGUGUCUGUCAUAUUCCUUUUCUUCCCAUAAGUCAGCCAUAUUUUCCAUUUUGUUUGCUUUGUAAUUUUGUAUUGAGGACUGUUUGAAUAUGACAUAGUAGCUCUGGAAAUUAGAUUAUCCCUCUCCUCAGGGAUUGGUUCUGUUACUUGUUGAGGGCUGCAGUUCAUUUGUAUAGUGAAUUUUCUAAGUUAUUUUUGCAAAGUCUGUAUUCCUGAAUUCAUCUCCAUAGCAUAAAAAGUGCAAGAUGAAAAAGCAAAGUGCUGAUGGAGAAGCCAUCCAGAUGAUCUAACAAAGAUAAUUCAUGAAGGUGGCUCCACUGAACAACAGGUGUUCAAUGCAGACAAAACAGCCUUACAUUGGAAUGUGAUGCCAUCUAGGACUUUCACAGAUGAAGAGAAGUCAAUGCCUUGUUUCAAAGAAUAGGCUAACUUUCUAGGGACUAAUGCAGCUGGAGGCUUUAAACUGAAGCCAGUGCUCAUUCACAUUGUGAAGAAAAUCUGAGAGCUAAGUCUACGCUGCCUGUGCUCUAUGAAUAGAAACAGUAUGGAUGGCAGCACAUCUGUUUACAGUAGGGUUUACUAUUUUAAGCCUACCCUUCAGGCUUAUUGUUCAGAAAAAAAAUUCUUUUCAAAAUACCACCACUCAUUGCCAGGUGCGGUGGCUCACGCCUAUAAUCCCAGCGCUUUGGGAGGCCUAGGUGGGUGGAUCACGAGAUCAGGAGUUCCAAGAACAGCCUGACCAACAUGGUGAAACCCUGUCUCUACUAAAAAUACAAAAAUUAGCUGGGCGUGGUGGCGUGCACCUGUAAUCCCAGCUAUUCAGGAGGCAGAGGCAGGAGAAUCACUUGAACCUGGGAGGCAGAGGUUGUGGUGAGUUGAGAUUGUGCCACUGCACUCCAGCCUGGGUGACAGAGUGAGACUCCAUCUCAAAAAAAAACUCAAAAUAUUACUGCUCAUUGACAAUCCUGACAUGGACCUGGACAGCCAUAAGCCCUGAGGGAGAUGCACAAGAUAAAUGCUGUUUGCAUGCUGCUAACACAACAUCCGUCCUGCAGCUCAUGGAUCAAGGAGUCAUUUUGAAUUUCAAGUCUUAUUUUUUAGGAAAUACAUUUUGUAAGGCUAUAGCUGCCACAGUCCUCUGAUGGAUCUAGGCAAAAAACACAGAAAACUUUCUGGAAAGGAUUCACCAUUCUAAAUGCCAUUAAGAACAUUUGUGAUUCAUGAGAGGAGGUCAAAAUGGGAGUUUGUAAGAAGUUGAUUCCAACCCUCAUGAAUGACUAAAAAUUUCAAGACCUCAGUGAAGGAAGAAAUUGCAGCAUGUGGUCAUAAUAACAAGAUAACUAAAAUUAGAAGUGGAGCUGGGUGUGGUGGUGUGUGCCUGUAAUCCCAGCUACCUGGAAGGCUGAAGUGGGAGGGCUGCUUGAGCCCAGGAGUUCGAGACUAGCCUGGGCAACAUAAGAGACCGUUUGCCAAAAAAAAAAAAAAAAAAGAAAAGAAAAAAGAAAGAAAAAUGGAGCCUGAAGAUGUGACUGAAUUGCUGCAAUCUCAUGAUACAACAUUAAUAGAUGAAGAGUUCUUCUCUAUGGAUGAGCACAGAAAAUAGUUUCUCAAAAUGGAAUCUACUCCUAGUGAAGAUACUGUGAACACUGUUGAAAAAGUUGACAGAGCAACAUCAGAGUUUGAGAGGAUUAACUCCAAUUUUGAAAGACACUGUAAUCUGGUGUCAAACAGCAUAGACAAAUCUUUCAAGAAAGAAAGUCAAUUAAUGCAGCCAACUUCACUGUCUUAUUUUAAGAAAUUGCCACAGUCGGCCGGGCGCGGUGGCUCAAGCCUGUAAUCCCAGCACUUUGGGAGGCCGAGGCGGGUGGAUCACGAGGUCAGGAGAUCGAGACCAUCCUGGUCAAUUUGGUGAAACCCCGUCUCUACUAAAAAUACAAAAAAUUAGCUGGGCAUGGUGGCGCGUGCCUGUAAUCCCAGCUACUCGGGAGGCUGAGGCAGGAGAAUUGCCUGAACCCAGGAGGCGGAGGUUGCGGUGAGCCGAGAUCGCGCCAUUGCACUCCAGCCUGGGUAACAAGAGCGAAACUCCAUCUCAAAAAAAAAAAAAAAAAGAAACUGCCACAGUCACCCCAGCCUUCAGCAACCAUCAAGCAACCAUCAUCAGCCAUCCACAUGGAGGCAAGACCCUCCAUCAGCUACAAGAUUACAACUUCCUAAAGGGUUAGAUGAUCAUUAGCAUUUUUUUAACAAUAAAGUUUUUUUUUCUUUUUUGAGACAGAGUCUCUGUUGCUCAGACUGGAGUGGUGUGAUUUCUCCAUCACCCAGGCUGGAGUGCAGUGGCCCAAUCUUGGCUUACUGCAACCUCCACCUCCCGGGUUCAAGCGAUUCUCCUGCUUCAGCCUCCUGAGUAGCUGGGAUUACAGGUGUGUGCCACCACAGCUGGCUAAUUUUUGUAUUUUUAGUAGAGACGGGGUUUCACCAUGUUGGUCAGGCUGGGAAAGUAUUUUUAAUUAAGGUAUGUACAUUGUUUUUCGGACAUAUGCCAUUACAUACUUAAUAGGCUACAGGCCUAAGAUGCACUGGGAAACCAAAUAAUUUUUUAAAUUUGUUUUAUUGUGAUGUUUGCUUUAUUUCACUGGUUUGGAACCAAACCUGCAGUGUCCCCAAGGUAUGCCUGUAAGUACACGAGUCCAUACGGGUAAAUGACUGAAUAAACAGGAAAGAAGAAACAAAUCUUCAAGAGUAACAUGCACAGAUACUGUCCUCUCCAGGGGCUGGAGCUUAAACCUUCUCAACCCACAGAGUAUGGAAAGGGAACAAUAGGAACUUGACAGUGGAGAAAUCUGGCAGACACCACUGUGACCAGGUGACCAAGCUCAGCACUGCCUGGGAGAAGUCUUGUGGUGGUCACAAGCACACAGUAGGAUGUGAUGAGAAACACAUCAAACGAACUCAAAUGGAGAGACAUUCUACAGACUACCUGGGCAGUACUCCUCAAAACUGUCAAGGUCACGAGAAACAAGGGAAGUCCAAGAAAUUGUCACAGGCUACAGAACGCAAAGGAGAUGGGAUGACUAAAUGCAGUACGUGCCUGGAUGGGACUCGGACAGAAAGCAGACAUUAGGGAAAAACUGGUGAAAUCCAAAUAAAGUCUGGAUUUUAGUUAAUGGUAACUACAAUGUUGGUUACUUAGUCAUGACAAAUGUUCCAGUCAUGAAAGAGGUAAACAAUGGGGGAGGCGAGGCUUGGUGGCUCACGCUUGUAAUCCCAGCACUAGGCGGAUCACGAGGUCAGGAGUUCAAAAACAGCCUGGCCAACCUGGUGAAACCCCAUCUCUACUAAAACCACAAAAAUUAGCUGGGCAUGGUGGCGGGCGCCUGUAAUCCCUGCUACUUGGGAGGCUGAGGCAGGAGAAUUGUUUGAAUCUGGGAGGUGGAGAUUGAAGUGAGCUGAGAUCGUACCACUGCACUCUAGCCUGGGUAAGGGUAAGACUCUGUCUCAGAAAAAAAAAAAAAAAAAAAGAAAA